GGGCAAUGAAAAUGAAGAAGAGCCAUCCCCUACCAUGCGUGCGACAAACAAGGAUGUUUUGUCUAUUCCCAUACCUACUGUUGCUUCAUAGUCAACUUUUAGUAUAUCGGGUCGUGUGCUUGAUGGCUUUCGAAGUCCUUUAACUCCCAAAGUAGUGGAAGUUUUGAUUUGCACUCAAGAUUGGUUGAGAGUCGUUAGUGUGCCGAUUAAUGUUGAAGAAUGCAUCGACAAUGCAGAAAAAUUUGAGUUGAACAUGAAUUGUCUUAAUGAGGAGAUUAUCGUCGGUAAAUAGAGUUUACCAGUUGAAGCGGAAUG